CAGGCUUAACACAUGCAAGUCGAGGGGCAGCAUCCUUUUAGCUUGCUAAGGCCGAUGGCGACCGGCGCACGGGUGAGUAACACGUAUCCAACCUGCCGUCUACUCUUGGACAGCCUUCUGAAAGGAAGAUUAAUACAAGAUGGCAUCAUGAGUCCGCAUGUUCACAUGAUUAAAGGUAUUCCGGUAGACGAUGGGGAUGCGUUCCAUUAGAUAGUAGGCGGGGUAACGGCCCACCUAGUCUUCGAUGGAUAGGGGUUCUGAGAGGAAGGUCCCCCACAUUGGAACUGAGACACGGUCCAAACUCCUACGGGAGGCAGCAGUGAGGAAUAUUGGUCAAUGGGCGAGAGCCUGAACCAGCCAAGUAGCGUGAAGGAUGACUGCCCUAUGGGUUGUAAACUUCUUUUAUAAAGGAAUAAAGUCGGGUAUGGAUACCCGUUUGCAUGUACUUUAUGAAUAAGGAUCGGCUAACUCCGUGCCAGCAGCCGCGGUAAUACGGAGGAUCCGAGCGUUAUCCGGAUUUAUUGGGUUUAAAGGGAGCGUAGAUGGAUGUUUAAGUCAGUUGUGAAAGUUUGCGGCUCAACCGUAAAAUUGCAGUUGAUACUGGAUAUUCUUGAGUGCAGUUGAGGCAGGCGGAAUUCCGUGGUGUAGCGGUGAAAUGCUUAGAUAUCACGAAGAACUCCGAUUGCGAAGGCAGCCUGCUAAGCUGCAACUGACAUUGAGGCUCGAAAGUGUGGGUAUCAAACAGGAUUAGAUACCCUGGUAGUCCACACGGUAAACGAUGAAUACUCGCUGUUUGCGAUAUACGGCAAGCGGCCAAGCGAAAGCGUUAAGUAUUCCACCCGGGGAGUACGCCGGCAACGGUGAAACUCAAAGGAAUUGACGGGGGCCCGCACAAGCGGAGGAACAUGUGGUUUAAUUCGAUGAUACGCGAGGAACCUUACCCGGGCUUAAAUUGCAGAUGAAUUACGGUGAAAGCCGUAAGCCGCAAGGCAUCUGUGAAGGUGCUGCAUGGUUGUCGUCAGCUCGUGCCGUGAGGUGUCGGCUUAAGUGCCAUAACGAGCGCAACCCUUGUUGUCAGUUACUAACAGGUUCUGCUGAGGACUCUGACAAGACUGCCAUCGUAAGAUGUGAGGAAGGUGGGGAUGACGUCAAAUCAGCACGGCCCUUACGUCCGGGGCUACACACGUGUUACAAUGGGGGGUACAGAGGGCCGCUACCACGCGAGUGGAUGCCAAUCCCCAAAACCUCUCUCAGUUCGGACUGGAGUCUGCAACCCGACUCCACGAAGCUGGAUUCGCUAGUAAUCGCGCAUCAGCCACGGCGCGGUGAAUACGUUCCCGGGCCUUGUACACACCGCCCGUCAAGCCAUGGGAGCCGGGGGUACCUGAAGUGCGUAACCAAGAGGAGCGCCCUAGGGUAAAACUGGUGACUGGG
rnacentral:rRNA from 1 species